UACGUAGGGCGCAAGCGUUAUCCGGAAUUAUUGGGCGUAAAGAGCUCGUAGGCGGUUUGUCGCGUCUGCCGUGAAAGUCCGGGGCUCAACUCCGGAUCUGCGGUGGGUACGGGCAGACUAGAGUGAUGUAGGGGGAGACUGGAAUUCCUGGUGUAGCGGUGAAAUGCGCAGAUAUCAGGAGGAACACCUAUGGCGAAGGCAGCUCCGCUGGGACGUGACUGACGCUGAGACGCGAAAGCGUGGGGAGCAAACAGG
rnacentral:rRNA from 1 species